rnacentral:rRNA from 1 species
GACAGAGGGGGCAAGCGUUGCUCGGAAUUACUGGGCGUAAAGGGCGCGUAGGCGGGAUGGCAAGUCGGUCGUGAAAUCCCUCGGCUCAACUGAGGAUCGUCGAUCGAUACUGCCGUUCUUGAGGAUUGCAGAGGAGACUGGAAUUCCCGGUGUAGCGGUGAAAUGCGUAGAUAUCGUAAGGAAGACCAGUGGCGAAGGCGGGUCUCUGGACAGGUUCCUGGACGCUGACGGCACGAAGG